rnacentral:rRNA from 1 species
UGUACACACCGCCCGUCGCUACUACCGAUUGAAUGGCUUAGUGAGGCCUCCGGAUUGGUUUAGGAAAGGGGGCAACUCCACUUCUGGAACCGAGAAGCUGGUCAAACUUGGUCAUUUAGAGGAAGUAAAAGUCGUAACAAGGUUUCCGUAGGUGAACCUGCGGAAGGAUCAUUACUGAUUUGCUUAAUUGCACCACAUGUGUUUUCUAUUAUUAUGAAACUUUCUUUGGCGGUGAGACGUAAAACUCACGCCGCCAGAGGUUUACUAAAACUAAAUUUAAAUAUUUUGUCAUUUUUUGUUAUUAUUUAUUUAAUAGUCAAAACUUUCAACAACGGAUCUCUUGGUUCUCGCAUCGAUGAAGAACGCAGCGAAAUGCGAUACGUAAUAUGAAUUGCAGAUAUUCGUGAAUCAUCGAAUCUUUGAACGCACAUUGCGCCCUCUGGUAUUCCAGAGGGCAUGCCUGUUUGAGCGUCAUUUCUCCCUCAAACCCUUGGGUUUGGUGUUGAGCAAUACGCGAUACGGUUUGUUUGAAAUAUAGUAAUGUACCGACGUAAACGACUUAGUGAGUACUCAUGCUUUUUCAACAUUUGACCUCAAAUCAGGUAGGACUACCCGCUGAACUUAAGCAUAUCAAUAAGCGGAGGAAAAGAAACCAACAGGGAUUGCCUUAGUAGCGGCGAGUGAAGCGGCAAAAGCUCAAAUUUGAAAUCUGGUACUUUCAGUGCCCGAGUUGUAAUUUGAAGAAGGUAUCUUUGGGUCUGGCGCUUGUCUAUGUUUCUUGGAACAGAACGUCACAGAGGGUGAGAAUCCCGUGCGAUGAGAUGAUCCAGACCUAUGUAAAGUUCCUUCGACGAGUCGAGUUGUUUGGGAAUGCAGCUCUAAGUGGGUGGUAAAUUCCAUCUAAAGCUAAAUAUUGGCGAGAGACCGAUAGCGAACAAGUACAGUGAUGGAAAGAUGAAAAGAACUUUGAAAAGAGAGUGAAAAAGUACGUGAAAUUGUUGAAAGGGAAGGGCUUGAGAUCAGACUUGGUAUUUUGUAUGUUACUUCUUCGGGGGUGGCCUCUACAGUUUAUCGGGCCAGCAUCAGUUUGGACGGUAGGACAAUUGCGGUGGAAUGUGGCACGGCUUCGGUUGUGUGUUAUAGCCACUGUCGAUACUGCCAGUCUAGACUGAGGACUGCGGUUU